ensembl:ncRNA C54G6.6 ncRNA
UUGCAAAAGGUAGGCCGCCUGGUCCACCGUACCUGUCAUGAUGGCAGAGGUCUGGGAAAGCUAGGCCACCUGUCUGAGCUGAUGGUCUAAGGUCUAAAGUUUACCAAAAACUCUUCCACCGAAACUUCUAGGGCGACCAAGGCUUGCAGAAGCUAGGCCACCAGACUUGGCUGGUGGCCUAGAAUUUUCAAGAACUCUUCCAUCGUAAAUUAUUAGAAAGCCGCGAUAGGAAAAAGCUAGGCCAUCAAAUUACCUUAGUGGCCCAGAAUCUAUAAAAACUCUCCCAUCGUACUUGCAAGGACGGCUGAGCUUGGAGGAAGCUAGGCCACCAGAAUAGGCCAGUGGCCUAGAAUCAACAAAAACUCUUCCACCGUACCUCCUACAAUGGCCGAGGUAGGGAAAGAUGGGCGCCAGGCUAAUCUAACUUUCCUAGACUGACCUAAAUGGGA